rnacentral:rRNA from 1 species
GUCCACGCCCUAAACGUUGGGCACUAGGUGUGGGGGGUAUUGACCCCCUCCGUGCCGUAGCUAACGCGAUAAGUGCCCCGCCUGGGGAGUACGGCCGCAAGGCUAAAACUCAAAGGAAUUGACGGGGGCCCGCACAAGCAGCGGAGCGUGUGGUUCAAUUCGAUGGUACGCGAAGAACCUUACCAGGGUUUGACAUGCUGGUGGUACGGAUCCGAAAGGUGAAGGACCCUUCGGGGAGCCAGCACAGGUGUUGCAUGGCUGUCGU